GUAUAUACAUACAGGAACAUUACUCAGCUAUAAAAAGGAAUGAAAUAAUGCCAUCUGCAGCAACAUGGAUGGACCUAGAGAUUAUCAUACUAAGUGAAGUAAGUCAGACAGAGAAAGACAAAUAUCAUAUGAUAUCACUUAUAUGUGGAAUCUAAAAAAUGAUACAAAUGAACUUAUUUACUAAAGAUAAACAGACUCACAGACUUAGAAAACAAACUUAUGGUUACCAAAGGGGAAAGGUGGAGGGAGGGAUAAAUUAGGAGGUGGGGAUUAACAUGUACACACUGUAUAUAAAAUAGAUAAUCGACAAGGACCUACCACAUAGCACAGGGAACUCUACUCAAUACUCUGUAAUAACCUAUAUGGGAAAAGAAUGUGAAAAAGAAUAGAUAUAUGUAUAACUAAAUCACUUUGCUAUACACCUGAAACUAGCAUAGCAUUGUUAAUCACGCCCUAUACUCCAAUAUAAAAUAAUAAUUAAAAAAAGAGAAACACUGGCUUAUACUUUAACAAAAGAGGGGGAAAAAAAAAACCCACAGAUAAUAAACCAAGGUAGAAUGUUAUGGCUACCAUAGUCCUCUAUUCUUGAAUUUUCUAGCUCUUUUUAAACUAGACCUAUAUUACCUACCUGGCUCUUGAAAUAAUUUAUUUCACCUUGCUGUCAAUAUAAUCAAAAUGAGUAAUUCACUUAGCAAGCAUGAAAAGGCCUCAAGCAACACCAGGAUGAUGUUUUAAACUGAUCUGAUGAGUUUUUCUUCAGUCAUUUUCUAAAUAAGUGGUGUGAAUUAAAACUGGUUUUAUUUCCCUGGUAUAAACAGCCUAUAAAGAGAACUCAUAUAAUAUACAACUCUCUUGGAAAGGCAUCCCACACAAUCAAAUCAGUAAUAGAAAGCUAUGAAAUUUGGUUCCCUGUCUCUCAACAACAGGGUAAAAAAACUAGAAAUCCUACACUGGUGCUGAGGGUCAGGAUACAAAACAUGACAUUCAAAAACAAACAAAAGGGGCUUCCCUGGUAUUCUUUACAUAAAACUAAAAUUAUAUAUAUCACAUACUUCAUUGAGGCAGAGGAUGAACUAGACUACAUAGCAUUUUAUAUUUAUA
rnacentral:lncRNA from 1 species